UGGGGAAUAUUGGACAAUGGGCGAAAGCCUGAUCCAGCCAUGCCGCGUGUGUGAAGAAGGCCUUUUGGUUGUAAAGCACUUUAAGUGGGGAGGAAAAGCUUAUGGUUAAUACCCAUAAGCCCUGACGUUACCCACAGAAUAAGCACCGGCUAACUCUGUGCCAGCAGCCGCGGUAAUACAGAGGGUGCAAGCGUUAAUCGGAAUUACUGGGCGUAAAGCGCGCGUAGGUGGUUAUUUAAGUCAGAUGUGAAAGCCCCGGGCUUAACCUGGGAACUGCAUCUGAUACUGGAUAACUAGAGUAGGUGAGAGGGGAGUAGAAUUCCAGGUGUAGCGGUGAAAUGCGUAGAGAUCUGGAGGAAUACCGGUGGCGAAGGCAGCUCCCUGGCAUCAUACUGACACUGAGGUGCGAAAGCGUGGGUAGCAAACAGGAUUAGAUACCCUGGUAGUCCACGCCGUAAACGAUGUCUACCAGUCGUUGGGUCUUUUAAAGACUUAGUGACGCAGUUAACGCAAUAAGUAGACCGCCUGGGGAGUACGGCCGCAAGGUUA
rnacentral:rRNA from 1 species